GUUUUGCAGGGCCAGAGUUAGCUAUGAGAAAGAUCAGAGUCAGCAAGAGUAAAGAGUAAAGUCAGGGCUAUGAGUAUGUGUUUGUAAUAGAAGUUUAGUGGACAUGUAUCUUAAUGUAUUAUGUUGUAAGUUAAGUUAAGUUCAGUUAUGUAUAAGCAUGUUUUAACAUGGAAUGUAUUCAGAGUUAUAGUUUGUGCUUGGCCCUAGAGUUUGGAUAAUCCCUUUGUACAUGGAUCUUGUUUUAUGUUUCUUGAUGAGAAAUGUGUGGAACCAAG
rnacentral:lncRNA from 1 species